UGCAGUGUUCCAGUACCUGCACUCGGCAGCAUUCUGUGGAAUGUUCAAAAAGCAGUGCUACACCAGUGCAGCAUUUUGCCUCCUUGGUUUUCAUUCUGCUGUGUCCGUUAAAGCUGGUGCUUUUGCUGAAAUAGUC